GCGGACUUCCCCCUUGCCUUUCUCGUGAUAGUGAGUGAGUUCUCACGAGAUCUGCUGGUUUAAAAGUGUGUAGCACCUCUCCCUUCACUCUCUUUCUCCUGUUUGGCCGUGUACCAAGUUCCUGCCUGUCUUCUGUCUUCACCCGUGACUUGCCUCAAGUAGUUGGCUCCUUUCCCACCGGCUACUUUGUAACUGCGAAUAUGACAACAUGACGGUGAUUCACAGAUGCCAAAAUAUGACGAGCAGAGCAAAUCUGUGUUCCAGAUAUGAUAAGAGUCUUACUCUGCCUUCCAGGCUGGAGUGCAAUGGCAUGAUCUCGGCUCACUGCCACCUUCGCCUCCUGGGUUCAAGCGAUUCUCCUGCUUCAGCCUCCCAAGUAGCUGGAACCACGGGCCACCACUCCCAGCUAAUUUUUAUAUUUUUAGUAAAGACAGGGUUUCACCAUGUUGGCCCGGCUGGUCUUAAACUCUUGACCUCAAGUGAUCCGUCCACCUCGGCCUCGCAAAGUGUUGGGAUUACAGGCGUGAGCCACCAAGCUCGGCCCCUCAACUUUAUUUUCUUUGUUUUGGCAUCUCUCAGGUUGAAUUUGGUGAGAGGCCCAAGAGCCCAUGCUGAGUCUCGUCCUUCUAAAGCCCUUCACUAAGCAUUGUGUUGUUCAGUGAAUGUUCCUCCUCUGGAUUCACAUUACUACUCACUAGCACCUCAUUUGACGGUGGAUGUAGACUCAUUUGCAUGCUUAUUUCCUGUUUUAUGUUUAUGCCG
rnacentral:lncRNA from 1 species